rnacentral:rRNA from 1 species
CGUAGGGUGCGAGCGUUAAUCGGAAUUACUGGGCGUAAAGCGUGCGCAGGCGGUUUAGUGAGACAGGCGUGAAAUCCCCGGGCUCAACCUGGGAACUGCGCUUGUGACUGCUAAGCUAGAGUACGGCAGAGGGGGGUGGAAUUCCACGUGUAGCAGUGAAAUGCGUAGAGAUGUGGAGGAACACCAAUGGCGAAGGCAGCCCCCUGGGUCGAUACUGACGCUCAUGCACGAAAGCGUGGGUAGCAAACAGGAUUAGAUACCCUGGUAGUCCACGCCCUAAACGAUGUCAACUAGGUGUUGGGAGGGUAAAACCUUUUAGUACCGGAGCUAACGCGUGAAGUUGACCGCCUGGGGAGUACGGCCGCAAGGUUA